rnacentral:rRNA from 1 species
AGCGAACGCUGGCGGCAGGCCUAACACAUGCAAGUCGAACGAAGUCUUCGGACAUAGUGGCGGACGGGUGAGUAACACGUGGGAACGUGCCUUUAGGUUCGGAAUAACUCAGGGAAACUUGUGCUAAUACCGAAUGUGCCCUUCGGGGGAAAGAUUUAUCGCCUUUAGAGCGGCCCGCGUCUGAUUAGCUAGUUGGUGAGGUAGAGGCUCACCAAGGCUACGAUCAGUAGCUGGUCUGGGAGAAUGACCCGCCACAUUGGGACUGAGACACGGCCCAAACACCUACGGGAGGCAGCAGUGGGGAAUCUUGCGCAAUGGGCGAAAGCCUGACGCAGCCAUGCCGCGUGGAUGAUGAAGGUCUUAGGAUUGUAAAAUCCUUUCACCGGUGAAGAUAAUGACUGUAGCCGGAGAAGAAGCCCCGGCUAACUUCGUGCCAGCCGCCGCCGUAAAAC